GACGAACGCUGGCGGCAUGCCUAACACAUGCAAGUCGAACGAACCCUUCGGGGUUAGUGGCGCACGGGUGCGUAACGCGUGGGAACCUGCCCUUGGCUUCGGAAUAACAGUUAGAAAUGACUGCUAAUACUGGAUGAUGGCUUCGGACCAAAGAUUUAUCUGCAAGGGAUGAGCACGCGUAGGAUUAGGUAGUUGGUGGGGUAAAGGCCUACCAAGCCGACGAUCCUUAGCUGGUCUGAGAGGAUGAUCAGCCACACUGGGACUGAGACACGGCCCAGACUCCUACGGGAGGCAGCAGUGGGGAAUAUUGGACAAUGGACGCAAGUCUGAUCCAGCAAUGCCGCGUGAGUGAUGAAGGCCUUAGGGUUGUAAAGCUCUUUUACCAGGGAUGAUAAUGACAGUACCUGGAGAAUAAGCUCCGGCUAACUCCGUGCCAGCCGCCGCCGUAAAAC
rnacentral:rRNA from 1 species